rnacentral:rRNA from 1 species
AUUGAACGCUGGCGGCAGGCCUAACACAUGCAAGUCGAACGAGUGGCGGACGGGUGAGUAAUGUCUGGGAAACUGCCUGAUGGCGGGGGAUAACUACUGGAAACGGUAGCUAAUACCGCAUACCAUCAGAUGUGCCCAGAGGGGAUUGGAGAGUUGGUGUGGUAACGGCUCACAAAGGCGACGAUCCCUAGCUGGUAUGAGAGGAUGACCGGCCACACUGGAACUGAGACACGUCCCAGACUCCUACGGAGGGCAGCAGUGGGUAAUUUUGGACAAUGGGCGCAAGCCUGAUGCAGCCAUGCCGCUUGUAUGAAGAAGGCCUUCGGGUGGUAAAGUACUUUCAGCGGGGAGGCGUUACCCGCAGAAGAAGCACCGGCUAACUCCGUGCCAGCAGCCGCGGUAAUAC